UUGAGUCUUACAAUAACUUUUUUACAUAUACUUUUAAUUUGAGUUUUGCUUAGUUGCUUUCGUUUACCUCAUGACAGGUGAUGCUGAGACGGUUUUGUCCUCGUAAGACUACUCUACUGUUUGUUAUACGAGAUAAAACAAGGUCACAAUUGAAUGAGGCUAUUUUAAGAGAGGAUUAUGGAGAAGCUGCAAAGCUGAAGUUGGCCAUAACUGGUGCUACAAAAAGGAUAUUGUUGGAGCAGCAUUGACUAUUAUGAAUAGAGCUAUAGAGGAAGAGCGAUACAUCGAUGCAACUUUCAUUCGUGAUCAUGUUGGGGCAGGACUGCUACAUGAAGCUAUUCACUCCAUUGAGCUUUAUUCAUUUUGCUAUAUGCAAGGCUAUAACAGUGGUUGCCAAUUCUUAUAUAUUGAUUGAAAAAAAUUCUUCAAAUGUUGAACGCAUACAGAAACUUAAAGCAAUGUUCAGAAAGGGUGCAUGCGACUUAAAUACUGAUGAAAAAGGUAGUUGCUCAGUAUACUUCUUUGUGGUUUUUAUGCAAACUGCACAUCCUCAAGCUUUGAGAUCUUACUAGAGUGUUGCUGCUGUAAUGUUGAGACAUAAGAAAAGGGAGAAAGCUGGGUUUGCAAGCUAAGUCUAUGAAAUUCUGUAUGC